UGGGGAAUAUUGCACAAUGGGGGAAACCCUGAUGCAGCGACGCCGCGUGAGCGAAGAAGUAUUUCGGUAUGUAAAGCUCUAUCAGCAGGGAAGAAGAAUGACGGUACCUGACUAAGAAGCACCGGCUAAAUACGUGCCAGCAGCCGCGGUAAUACGUAUGGUGCAAGCGUUAUCCGGAUUUACUGGGUGUAAAGGGUGCGUAGGCGGCUUUGCAAGUCAGAUGUGAAAUCUAUGGGCUCAACCCAUAAACUGCAUUUGAAACUGUAGAGCUUGAGUGAAGUAGAGGCAGGCGGAAUUCCCCGUGUAGCGGUGAAAUGCGUAGAGAUGGGGAGGAACACCAGUGGCGAAGGCGGCCUGCUGGGCUUUAACUGACGCUGAGGCACGAAAGCGUGGGUAGCAAACAGGAUUAGAUACCCUGGUAGUCCACGCUGUAAACGAUGAUUACUAGGUGUGGGGGGUCUGACCCCUUCCGUGCCGGAGUUAACACAAUAAGUAAUCCACCUGGGGAGUACGGCCGCAAGGUUGAAACUCAAAGGAAUUGACGGGGGCCCGCACAAGCAGUGGAGUAUGUGGUUUAAUUCGAAGCAACGCGAAGAACCUUACCAGGUCUUGACAUCCAACUAACGAAGUAGAGAUACAUUAGGUGCCCUUCGGGGAAAGUUGAGACAGGUGGUGCAUGGUUGUCGUCAGCUCGUGUCGUGAGAUGUUGGGUUAAGUCCCGCAACGAGCGCAACCCUUGCUAUUAGUUGCUACGCAAGAGCACUCUAAUAGGACUGCCGUUGACAAAACGGAGGAAGGUGGGGACGACGUCAAAUCAUCAUGCCCCUUAUGACCUGGGCUACACACGUACUACAAUGGAUGUUAACAGAGGGAAGCAAGACAGCGAUGUGGAGCAAACCCCUAAAAACAUUCUCAGUUCAGAUUGCAGGCUGCAACCCGCCUGCAUGAAGAUGGAAUUGCUAGUAAUCGCGGAUCAGCAUGCCGCGGUGAAUACGUUCCC
rnacentral:rRNA from 1 species